UAGAAUUCCACGUGUAGCAGUGAAAUGCGUAGAUAUGUGGAGGAACACCGAUGGCGAAGGCAGCCCCCUGGGUCAAGAUUGACGCUCAUGCACGAAAGCGUGGGGAGCAAACAGGAUUAGAUACCCUGGUAGUCCACGCCCUAAACGAUGUCUACUAGUUGUCGGGUCUUAAUUGACUUGGUAACGCAGCUAACGCGUGAAGUAGACCGCCUGGGGA
rnacentral:rRNA from 1 species